rnacentral:rRNA from 1 species
GCAUCUCCUGUGCGUGGAAAGAACUUCGGUCAAGGAUGGACUCGCGGCCUAUCAGGUAGUUGGUGAGGUAACGGCUCACCAAGCCUACGACGGGUAGCCGGCCUGAGAGGGUGACCGGCCACACUGGGACUGAGACACGGCCCAGACUCCUACGGGAGGCAGCAGUGGGGAAUAUUGCACAAUGGGCGCAAGCCUGAUGCAGCAACGCCGCGUGAGGGAUGACGGCCUUCGGGUUGUAAACCUCUUUUAGUAGGGAAGAAGCGAAAGUGACGGUACCUGCAGAAAAAGCACCGGCUAACUACGUGCCAGCAGCCGCGGUAAUACGUAGGGUGCGAGCGUUGUCCGGAAUUAUUGGGCGUAAAGAGCUCGUAGGCGGUCUGUCGCGUCUGCUGUGAAAACCCGAGGCUCAACCUCGGGCCUGCAGUGGGUACGGGCAGACUAGAGUGCGGUAGGGGAGAAUGGAAUUCCUGGUGUAGCGGUGGAAUGCGCAGAUAUCAGGAGGAACACCGAUGGCGAAGGCAGUUCUCUGGGCCGUAACUGACGCUGAGGAGCGAAAGCGUGGGGAGCGAACAGGAUUAGAUACCCUGGUAGUCCACGCCGUAAACGUUGGGCGCUAGAUGUGGGGACCAUUCCACGGUUUCCGUGUCGCAGCU